UUCCACAGUAAUGACGAUCUUCCAUUGCUGCCAUGAACACUCCUGCACCGCAUUGUUCCAUGGGACAUUCUCUCCUUAAUCGGUGAAUUUUUCCAUUCUCAUCCACCUGGACAAUAAAGGAUUUGUCGAACCUUUACAAGUUAAGAAGGGAUAUUCUUUCGUCGUCUUCAAUUUACGAUAAUAUCAUCACGGAAACAGUCAAUUAAUUUUUAAAGAUAUUUUUGUUAAAUUAGAUUUACAGGUAACAUUUAUAUACCUUGUAGAAUUUUAGUACUGCAAGCUUGACCUUCUUUUUCUUAUGCUUGAUUUUUUUAGGAGUGGAGUAAUUCUUCUUCUUGCGUUUCUUAGCUCCACCUCUUAGACGUAAUACCAAAUGUAAAGUAGAUUCUUUCUGGAUAUUAUAAUCUGAAAGGGUUCUACCAUCUUCUAGCUGUUUACCAGCAAAGAUUAAUCUUUGCUGAUCUGGCGGAAUACCUGCAAUGAUAUUUUUAUUAGUAAACACAUCCAAUCUAAAUAUAUCUGAUGUUAUAUUACCUUCCUUGUCUUGGAUCUUAGCUUUAACAUUUUCUAUUGUAUCUGAAGCCUCAACCUCUAAAGUGAUCGUCUUUCCAGUGAGUGUUUUUACGAAAAUCUGCAUAUUGAAGACGAUGUCGGGUGGAACUGCAGAAAAGAAUAAUUCAAUCUCAGUCUUUCAGUAACUCGCGCAGAACGCCAACGCUGCGAGUGGCCGCUUGCGGAACUACAUGUCUGCCAUAGACUACCUAUUCGCCACAUCUCGCUAGAGACUAGCGGCUCUUGAGUGCAUUUCUGUACAUUACAGAACAAUUGUUGCGAAAAUGAAUUUAUAAUUAUGACAUCUUGUACAAGGUAUCAAUUGGAUCAAGAAUCUAUUUUAUUUUCAGUGCAUAGAAGACUUUAUCAAUAAUUCGAAAUGGAUAAUUUUAACAAGAAGCUAACAACUGCGGUGGAAUGUCAUCAAUAUUUUUAUGAACUUCUUCCCGACUGGUUUGAAUACAAUUACAAGGAUCAUGCGUAUAUACAGAAAAAAGUUGUAUUUGCACUAUAUGGUCCUCCUGACUAUAGUAAAUAUAAAAAAAUUAUUGAUGAUAA